rnacentral:rRNA from 1 species
AGCUCCAAUAGCGUAUAUUAAAGUUGUUGCAGUUAAAAAGCUCGUAGUUGGAUUUCUGGUUGAAGCGACCGGUCGGGCGUUGAUUCGUCUGCACUGGAGUCGGUUUUGGCCAUCCUCUAGGAAAGUGCGUCUGGUAUUAAGUUAUCGGGCGUAUGAUCCUGGUCUUUUACUGUGAAAAAUUAGAGUGUUUAAAGCAGGCCUUCGCCUUGAAUACAUUAGCAUGGAAUAAUAAGAUAGGACUUUGGUCUAUUUUGUUGGUUUGCAGACCGAAGUAAUGA